rnacentral:rRNA from 1 species
AUUGAACGCUGGCGGCAUGCCUUACACAUGCAAGUCGAACGGUAACAGGUCUUCGGACGCUGACGAGUGGCGAACGGGUGAGUAAUACAUCGGAACGUGCCCAGUCGUGGGGGAUAACUACUUGAAAGAGUAGCUAAUACCGCAUACGAUCUGAGGAUGAAAGCGGGGGACCUUCGGGCCUCGCGCGAUUGGAGCGGCCGAUGGCAGAUUAGGUAGUUGGUGGGAUAAAAGCUUACCAAGCCGAUGAUCUGUAGCUGGUCUGAGAGGACGACCAGCCACACUGGGACUGAGACACGGCCCAGACUCCUACGGGAGGCAGCAGUGGGGAAUUUUGGACAAUGGGCGAAAGCCUGAUCCAGCAAUGCCGCGUGCAGGAUGAAGGCCUUCGGGUUGUAAACUGCUUUUGUACGGAACGAAAAAGUCUCCUCUAAUACAGGAGGCCCAUGACGGUACCGUAAGAAUAAGCACCGGCUAACUACGUGCCAGCCGCCGCCGUAA